UACGUAGGGUGCGAGCGUUAAUCGGAAUUACUGGGCGUAAAGCGUGCGCAGGCGGCUUCGCAAGUCAGACGUGAAAUCCCCGGGCUUAACCUGGGAAUGGCGUUCGAAACUACGGAGCUGGAGUAUGGCAGAGGGGGGUGGAAUUCCACGUGUAGCGGUGAAAUGCGCAGAUAUCAGGAGGAACACCGAUGGCGAAGGCAGGUCUCUGGGCCGAUACUGACGCUGAGGAGCGAAAGCGUGGGGAGCGAACAGG
rnacentral:rRNA from 1 species